rnacentral:rRNA from 1 species
UAUUGCACAAUGGGGGAAACCCUGAUGCAGCGACGCCGCGUGAGUGAUGAAGUAUUUCGGUAUGUAAAGCUCUAUCAGCAGGGAAGAAAAUGACGGUACCUGACUAAGAAGCACCGGCUAAAUACGUGCCAGCAGCCGCGGUAAUACGUAGGGGGCAAGCGUUAUCCGGAUUUACUGGGUGUAAAGGGAGCGUAGACGGCUGUGCAAGCCAGAUGUGAAAACCCGGGGCUCAACCCCGGGACUGCAUUGGAAACUGUUUUUCUAGAGUGUCGGAGAGGCAAGUGGAAUUCCUAGUGUAGCGGUGAAAUGCGUAGAUAUUAGGAGGAACACCAGUGGCGAAGGCGGCUUGCUGGACGAUGACUGACGUUGAGGCUCGAAAGCGUGGGGAGCAAACAG